rnacentral:rRNA from 1 species
UGGCCUACGGGAGGCAGCAGUGGGGAAUAUUGGGCAAUGGGCGCAAGCCUGACCCAGCGACGCCGCGUGAGGGAAGACGGUCUUCGGAUUGUAAACCUCUUUCAGCAGGGAAGACAAAAGGACGGUACCUGCAGAAGAAGCCACGGCUAACUACGUGCCAGCAGCCGCGGUAAUACGUAGGGGGCUAGCGUUAUCCGGAAUUACUGGGCGUAAAGGGGGCGUAGGUGGUUUCUUAAGUCAGAGGUGAAA